UAUUACGGCUGUAAACUAUUGAACUUCUUAGCCAUGCAGAAUGUAAACAUGUUCAUGAGAUCUGCUGUAGCCUCACUGCCCUAGAGGUGGAACGAGGUGGGAUGGUUGUGUCCGUGUGUAACCGGUUCUGUGUGUUCUAACAGCCUGCCCUAAAGCACACCUUGUUGAGCAAACACAACAUAGGUUAACAGGGACUCCAGAUCCGGGAGGCGGCAGUAGAUGGAGAGGGGGAGAGUAGGUUUAAGACCAUUAACAGGCUGGUGAUUGACAGCCUCGUUGUGUGUUUCAGCAGUACAGAGACAACCUCACGAUCUGGACUGAAAGAGUCUUUCUUUGUUAGCCAGUCCUUCAGUGAAACCCUCCAGACACGCAGACACAGAGACGGACUGUAGGACUACAGUGAAGCUGCAUCCCUAUUCGGGGCCCGGGGCCCGCUGUUCAAAAGUGUUGUCAAUUGGACGCAGUGUAUUGAAAGAGGAUGUGUUUUUCACCAGGGGGUCAAAGAGUCAGGGUUAUUUAUUGUUCAUAGCUGAAUAUUAACAGACGUUGUCAUAGCAACAAGGCCGUUUUUUUUUUCUCUCUCGUUUUUUCUUCCCGAAAACUGCUGUAACUUUGUCCUUGGAGCGUUAACCUACUCCAGUUGGUCUCUGUUAUUACUGGGCUGGUCCUGGCUGCUGGUCCUGGCUGCUGGUCCUGGCUGCUGGUCCUGGCUGUUGGUCCAGGCUGCUGGUCCAGGCUGCUGGUCCAGGCUGUUGGUCCAGGCUGCUGGUCCAGGCUGCUGGUCCAGGUUAUAUUAACCCUGUUAAGAAUGUGCAUUUGAAACAAUGACAGUGUUGGAAUACCUUUAGUCAUGUAAAAAAAUAUAUAUUUUGAGAUGUACUGUAGCCCAUCAAGAGCGCUAACAGAUCUGGGACCAGUUUACUGACUUCCUCACAUCACUAUAUUCUGUAGCCCAUCAAGAGAGCUAACAGAUCUGGGACCAGUUUACUGACUUCCUCACAUCACUAUAUUCUGUAGCCC
ensembl:lncRNA